GAUGAACGCUAGCUACAGGCUUAACACAUGCAAGUCGAGGGGAAACGGCAUCGAAAGCUUGCUUUUGAUGGGCGUCGACCGGCGCACGGGUGAGUAACGCGUAUCCAACCUGCCCAUCACUUGGGAAUAACCUUGCGAAAGUAAGACUAAUGCCCAAUGACAUCCCACGAAGGCAUCCGAAUGGGAUUAAAGAUUUAUCGGUGAUGGAUGGGGAUGCGUCUGAUUAGCUUGUUGGCGGGGUGACGGCCCACCAAGGCAACGAUCAGUAGGGGUUCUGGGAGGAAGGUCCCCCACAUUGGAACUGAGACACGGUCCAAACUCCUACGGGAGGCAGCAGUGAGGAAUAUUGGUCAAUGGGCGAGAGCCUGAACCAGCCAAGUAGCGUGCAGGAUGACGGCCCUAUGGGUUGUAAACUGCUUUUAUAAGGGAAUAAAGUGGGUCACGUGUGACUUUUUGCAUGUACCUUAUGAAUAAGGACCGGCUAAUUCCGUG
rnacentral:rRNA from 1 species